rnacentral:snoRNA from 1 species
AGCUUCAUUCCAUAUAAGAACUGGCACACUGAUCAUGGUGUCCAGAAUUGCUUAUGUGGCUAAACUGAGAUGCAGGUUAUGCUUCCAUCACAGUAAAUUUAUUUCAGUGGUGACAAUGAGAUCUGUAACAUUU